GGAGUUAGCCGGUGCUUCUUCUGCGAGUAACGUCACAGAUGUAAGGUAUUAACUUACACCCUUUCCUCCUCGCUGAAAGUGCUUUACAACCCGAAGGCCUUCUUCACACACGCGGCAUGGCUGCAUCAGGGUUUCCCCCAUUGUGCAAUAUUCCCCACUGCUGCCUCCCGUAGGAGUCUGGGCCGUGUCUCAGUCCCAGUGUGGCUGAUCAUCCUCUCAGACCAGCUAGGGAUCGUCGCCUAGGUGAGCCUUUACCUCACCUACUAGCUAAUCCCACCUGGGCUUAUCCAUCAGCGCAAGGCCCGAAGGUCCCCUGCUUUCCCCCGUAGGGCGUAUGCGGUAUUAGCAGUCGUUUCCAACUGUUAUCCCCCACAAAUGGGCAAAUUCCCAGGCAUUACUCACCCGUCCGCCGCUCGUCAUCUUCAAAAGCAAGCUUUUGAAAUGUUACCGCUCGACUUGCAUGUGUUAGGCCUGCCGCCAGCGUUCAAUCUGAGCCAGAAUCAAAACUACUGA
rnacentral:rRNA from 1 species